rnacentral:tRNA from 1 species
GCCUGGCUGGCUCAGUUGGUAGAGCAUCUGACUCUUAUCUCUGCGUCGUGAGUUCGAGCCCCAUGUUGGGCA